rnacentral:rRNA from 1 species
AGUGAACGCUGGCGGUAGGCCUAACACAUGCAAGUCGAACGGCAGCACAGUAAGAGCUUGCUCUUACGGGUGGCGAGUGGCGGACGGGUGAGGAAUACAUCGGAAUCUACUUUUUCGUGGGGGAUAACGUAGGGAAACUUACGCUAAUACCGCAUACGUCCUACGGGUGAAAGCAGGGGAUCUUCGGACCUUGCGCGAUUGAAUGAGCCGAUGUCGGAUUACCUAGUUGGCGGGGUAAAGGCGCACCAAGGCGACGAUCCGUAGCUGGUCUGAGAGGAUGAUCCGCCACACUGUCACUGAGACACGGUCCAGACUCCUACGGUAGGCCGCAGUGGGGAAUCUUGCACGAUGGGCGCAAGCCUGAUCCAGCCAUACCGCGUGAGUGAAGACGGCCUUCGGGUUGUAAAACCCUUUUGUUGGGAAAGAAAAGCAGCAGUUUAAUACCCCGCUGUUCUGACGGUACCCAAAGAAUAAGCACCGGCUAACUUCGUG